rnacentral:rRNA from 1 species
UACAGAGGUGGCAAGCGUUGUUCGGAAUUACUGGGCGUAAAGGGCGCGUAGGCGGUCUUUUAAGUCUUGUGUGAAAUCCCUCGGCUCAACUGAGGAACUGCACGGGAUACUGGAAGACUUGAGUUCGGGAGAGGGAAGCGGAAUUCCGGGUGUAGCGGUGAAAUGCGUAGAUAUCCGGGGGAACACCGGUGGCGAAGGCGGCUUCCUGGACCGAUUACUGACGCUGAGGCGCGAAAGCUAGGGGAGCAAACGGG